GCCCACCCCCACGCACCCACACACACACACACACACACACCCGCGCUCACUCACUAGCCAGCAGCUCGGCUAGUUGCUGCUGCACUGGUGGAGUUAAGAGACAGGAAAAAGCCCAGGCUGAGUUGGGGGCAGGGAGAAAAAGAGGGAGAGUAACAUCCCACGGGGCUACCUCUUGUGCCCUAGCAAAAUGGCAGUAGAGAGGUGAGCCCUUUGGGAAGCCAGCAGUGGCCACACACGUGUGCACACAUACAGACUCAGAGGCAAUCUGAGCUCACGAAGAGUGGAAUAAACGACCCAGCAAGCCAAGGCCUGUGGGUUCGGAGUUGGGGGAGUGGGGAGAUCCCGUGGGUGGACCCCCAUUAGGUGAUUUUGUUUUGUUUUGUUUUUCUUUCUACUUCGUUCGUGUUAUUCCCUGAAGGAUCUAGUCGUCUCUCACCUUGUAACAGAGCAUAGACCUAAGCCACUGGUUAAAAUAAACCAUGAAAUGUGGAACUGUGCGAGGAAACUUAACUGUAGGUUCAACUUGUGCCCAGAUUUUUUUUUUUUAAGCGAAGCCCCUGCCCCCAACCCUAACCCUCGAGAGCAGCAGCAAGGAGCAUGUAAGUAGUGUAAACUCUGAGAGCGGUGAAGUGUGAUGCUGGAGUUACUGAGUGCCAGGCUGCUGGAAUUUGUGGAAGUUCACAGCUCAAUGGAGCACAAAGGCGUGGCAGAGCUACCAGAGGGAGCAACUGGUUGUGGUAAACAAAGCGACUUCCCCAAGGGAGAAGAUGAGAGGAGGCACACUAAACUGUGGAGGGAACUCUCCAGCAGUUCUUGGAGACAGCCAGACAAGAGAAACCCUAUCUUAGUUGGUUUUCACCAUGAACAUAGACUCCUCACAGCAGCUCUGAAUAGGCAAAGAGACUGAAGUGUGAUCUCCCAGGUCUGUUUGGACACAACUACCCAGAUCACUAGCUCCAGCUAAAUGGUCUGCCAAAGUCCUGAGUUCAACUUAAAAUCAUUCUGCAAUGGGUACUUAGAGGAAGAUUUCCUACCAGCCUGGCUCAAGGGUUCAUGUCAUUCCGCCCUACAGAUCAUCGAGGAAAUAAAAGCUCCCGGAAUAUUCUAGCUGUGUUCCUAGUUCCUCUGGACCUGAGGGUGCUUGACCUCAGGACACCCAAAAUGGAAGUCAUGCAAUUAUCUCCGUGAAAGACUGUUUAAUAAGAAUAGAAAGGGGUCUAAAACCAGGGAAAGGAAAUUUAUCUUUGAUAUUACAUCUUUUGCCCAGCAAUGAAAUGUGUAUCAUCCAUAAAGAUGAAAGAUACAUUAAAAGUUGAACCAAAGGCAUUGUUUUGAAUUUAAUUCAGCAAAUGCUUGCCAUUCUC
rnacentral:lncRNA from 1 species